CAUCUUAAGAGUGUACUGAAGCUAGAUUAUUUUGUAGCUCAUUUUUUACGCUCUCUCCAUGGUUAAUAUAAAUUAUGCAAAGCAAUGUUUACUUUGAGUGUAACUCUAGUGCUAUUCUUAUUAUUCAAUGUACAUCGAUGGUGCUGCUGGACUUGUGCUAGUCAGAGGGGAGAAAGCUAAGAACCUUGGCCUUUAAGUUCUUGCAAGGAUCAGAGGGUAUGCUGAUGCUACUCAGGGGUGAUCGACGUGGACUACCAUCGCCUGGUGGGCGUCGUGCUCUUCAACCACUCAGAGGCAGACUUCAUCGUGAAGCCGGACGAUCGCGCCGCACACAUGAUCGUCCAGGUCAUUGCAACGCAGGAGGUCGCCGAGGUGGACGACCUCGACGCCACCGUCCGCCGGGAGGGACUGCUCAGAUCCACCAACGUUUCAACUCCGAAACUUGGUAGAUACAUCUAGAGAAGUGGUCUAGUUGUUUGCAUCUGAUGUUAAAUGUGAUUUUGAGAUCUCGAGUUGAGAUGUUCAAUGUUGUAUCCAUGAAUGCUGCAAGUGCUAAGAUGGUUCUGUGAACUUAGUUUAUUUGCACCGGACGUGUCUUGAUUUCCAUCCA